rnacentral:tRNA from 1 species
GCUGGGAUAGCUCAGUUGGUAGAGCAACGGUUUUGUAAACCGUAGGUCAAGGGUUCGAGUCCCUUUCUCAGCUCCA